GUCAGUAAGUGUAUUGGGAACUGGGUAAAAUAAAUGUGAGUGAUCAGUGAUGAUUUUUUUCACCAUCUUUCGGCUGAUGUUGAA
ensembl:snoRNA snoZ196 Small nucleolar RNA Z196/R39/R59 family